rnacentral:rRNA from 1 species
GUGCCAGCAGCCGCGGUAAUACCGGCAGCUCAAGUGAUGUCCCAUAUUAUUGGGCCUAAAGCGUCCGUAGCUGGCCGACCAAGUCUCCCGGGAAAUCCACCCGCUCAACGGGUGGGCGUCCGGUAGAUACUGGCCGGCUUGGAACCGGAAUGCUCAGAGAGUACGUCCGGGGUAGGAGUGAAAUCCCGUAAUCCCGGACGGACUACCGAUGGCGAAAGCACUCUGAGAAGACGGCUUCGACAGUGAGGGACGAAAGCCAGGGUCUCCAACCGGAUUAGAAACCCUAGUAGUCC